rnacentral:lncRNA from 1 species
UUCCAAGGGACGUGAAAUGUGGAAACAAGAUGAAAACAAAACUGCUCUGGAGGCCAAAAGUGGAAAACCAAGGUGUGGGCAGGACGGUGCUCCUCCGGAAGCCUGUAGCGAAGGAACCCUCCGUGCCUUUCCAGCUCCCAGCUCCCGUCUCCCUCUUCAUGCGGCCUCUCUUCUGUAUUGUAC